GCUGGUGUGGUGCGUGGCCUGGGAGCUCCACACAGAUCCUUGAGAAGGAUGAAAUGCUGUUUAGCUUCCACCAAAAGAGAGAAGAAAUGCACACCUGCCUCCCUGAGAGUCUCCAGCUGCACAGUUCUGCUGCACUGGCAAUUCCCAGCAAUUGGAAGGGGUACAGUAAAGCUUACAAACACUAUGCUUGGGGUGAGAGACAGAGGCUUUGUGUGUACCAGGGAAAUUUGGUAUAUGAAGAGAGUGGAGCUGGGCUCAGGACUGAUACAACUUGCCAACAAGUGAGAUCCUGAUUUUCCAGACAUGGGACAUGCUUCCUGCAGAAGUACCUCCAGUGCCUUAAUUGAUGCAUUUGCACCAGGGAGAGCUGAUGCAGUAAGAUGACAAUCAAGCCCAUGGGUCAAGAGAUUCAGAAAUAAGUAUCUAAAGUUAGGUGCCUAAUUCCAUAAUUAGGAACUUGAGAAGAGGUGGACUGGUUUUCAAAAACACUGCAGGAGUGACAAAUUCUGCUGAAGUCAAUUUGAGUUGGAGCUCAAUUAUGUGUCUAUAUGGUCAAAAGGGAAAAGUCUGUCUUCAUCUGAAGCGAAGCAGGGCCUGAAGGAUGUAUCUCAGACAUCCCCGUGGCUCUCAGGGUCCAGGAAUGCACUGACUCAGGAGUGGAAGCUGUACCCAAAGUCUCCUGCAUGGUCACACAGAGUAGCACUGCACACCAGAUGUGGCUUCUCUUGUCAUAUGCCUAAAACUUUUUUAAUGAUAAGUGGUUUUCAGGCUGGCAAUUAAUUUGCCAUUGGCUUAAACUCCUAAGAACUACAAGGUAAUGGGAAGCUAGCUGGCUCAUUAAUUAAAAUAGAAAAAAGUAUGUUGAGGUAGCAUUUUCCUGGAAGUGGGGUCCAUUUGUGUCU